AACGGUCUAUACCUGCGGUACCUGCGGAAGGAUCAUUAUAGAGUGGUAAACCUCCCGUAAAAGGGGGGGACCUCCUGUCCUUUGUAGGCUCUUUUUUAAAAGGGCUUUUUUUAAUUUUCUGCUUCGGUGGGGUUAUCCCACCGGAACAACCUCAAAACUCUCAUCACAAAAUCGUUCUGUCUGAGAACCUUUUAUAAUAAAAAAAAACUUUCAACAACGGAUCUCUAGAUCGGAAGAGCA
rnacentral:misc_RNA from 1 species